rnacentral:lncRNA from 1 species
CUUCGACCACUGCGCAAGAGAGCUGAAGGUCUUUUCCACGCCAUGAGAAGAUUCUCGGACAGGCGUCUAGAAAUACGUCUUUCCCGCAUCUGCCUUCCUGCGUCUUUUUGGUGGCGGUUACACGGCCCAUCCUGAAUGCUCUAACGGCGGGACUUUCGUGCACCUAGAUGCAGUACAGCAGUGCUAUUAGGCAGGACAGGUGUCGGCGAGCUUCCAGUUGUGUCUGUAGAUGUUCUUUCCUCUCCUGUUCUCCUCGGAUUUCCAACAGUGCGGGGUUCUUCCAGAUGCACGUCUCUCGGCGAUGCGGGGACAGAGGGAACAGCUUUACAGGAAAGUUGAGGGCGGUUGACAAUAGGAAUGAACCGUAGAGAUGAGGAGCAAAUACUCCGAUAGCCUGUUAAAGAACUGAUCCGCAGGGCGCCACCACAUCAGAUCAGCCACGUCAGAACGUCUGCACAGAACGGCAGGAAGACCGCUCGACAGGGGUUCGUGCUAGGAGGGCCGGGACGGGCGAGAUUGACAGGUUCGGUGCUUUACUUUCUUCCGAUUUCUGUCUUUUGUUCGUAGACACGUCUGUGUCUAGCUUCGCAAAGCGGCAGGAAGCGCAGGGGUCACCUGAUAAAACGCGGGAACCGCGCGAAAGCAGGUCCAUUGUGCCGGGAGCAGUAUUCCCACCACACACAUCCUCACGCGGUUAGAUGGAUAUGUGGGAAUGUGGAGCAGUCGGCGGAAAAACGGAACAAGACUGAGCCGCAAGGACUGGCAGAAGUUCUUGUUCGUUGUUGGUAGGAGCGAGGCGAGAAAGGUCGUAUCCUGAGACCAGUGAUCGAGGAAGCGGAACACUGUGUACGACCGUGGUGUAAGACAGAGCCGGGAAUGAAACGAUACGGAGACAAUCUCUCAGUAUUUAGUGGUGCCGCUGUUUUUGCCACGUAGCUAUCUGGGUGUCCAGUUUUCUGAGAUCUAAGGCAACUACUUCAACGUCUGUAAAUCUGCUCUAACAGCAUGUAGAACUGUUCCGCCUCGUUCAGGAACGAAAUGCGAAACGGGAUGCUUCCUAGAUACACCAUCAUGCGUGUGUGUGAUUCUUGCUAGACCUGGCCAGCACGGUCGCGUUUCUGAAUCGGUGAACUCCAGUUUUGCUGUCGUCCUGUGCUGUCAAAUCUGGUACAAGCACGUGUGUUGCUGGAGGAGUGGCAAUCUGAAUCAUGUCAGUUUCGAUAACUUCUUCGUCUUGAGGACGGUGUGCAUCCACAAACUGUCAUUCAUUUUUAUCAUCUCGGGUACCUGUGAGUGGCCCAUGUGGGAAACGUGAGUGACACGCACGUAUACCUGUGCACAACAGACGGUAAUCCACUGGUACUUGGCAACCUCUUUUCGUGAACCACUCUGUUCGCUGUUUGUUUUUUUCCUGAAGGAGUUAUCCGAGGGUAGUUUGGUCCCUCAUGUCUUGCAUGUUUCUCAGCUACUUCCUCGGAUUUCCUCCUUGCCUUCUUUUCCCUGCCAGUGUCCAUCCUCUACGGUGGAAGGAGACCCAGCACUCCCUGCGGCAGCGUCUCCCAGUGAACUAGGGCACGGACUGCCAGUCGUGGCGUACUUUCUCC